AUCAAUCUAAUGUCCUGUCUAAGAAUUCUUAAUUUGAAAAUGACAAAGUAAUCUCUGAGCUUAAAAGAGUAGAAUUCUGAAGAACCCAUACCAAGAUCAGAUGAGAGAGGCUAGUACUGAUGCUAGCCAAAAUAAGAAUUUAGAAAAAGAAGUUAGUACUAAGACUAAUCCAAUAGAAGAACUAAGCUCGAAAUUGGUACUGAUGCUAGUUUCAAUUUGAGUGAAAAUGAUAAAAACAAG
rnacentral:lncRNA from 1 species